UACGUAGGGUGCAAGCAUUAUCCGGAGUGACUGGGCGUAAAGAGUUGCGUAGGUGGUUUGUUAAGUGAAUGGUGAAAUCUGGCGGCUCAACCGUACAGACUAUUAUUCAAACUGGCAAACUCGAGAAUGGUAGAGGUAACUGGAAUUUCUAGUGUAGGAGUGAAAUCCGUAGAUAUUAGAAGGAACACCAAUGGCGUAGGCAGGUUACUGGACCAUUUCUGACACUGAGGCACGAAAGCGUGGGGAGCGAACCGG
rnacentral:rRNA from 1 species